rnacentral:rRNA from 1 species
AUACAGAGGGUGCGAGCGUUAAUCGGAAUUACUGGGCGUAAAGCGCGCGUAGGCGGCUUAUUAAGUCAGAUGUGAAAUCCCCGGGCUCAACCUGGGAACUGCAUCUGAUACUGGUAAGCUCGAGUUUUGGAGAGGGAAGUAGAAUUUCAGGUGUAGCGGUGAAAUGCAUAGAGAUCUGAAGGAAUACCAGUGGCGAAGGCGACUUCCUGGCCAAAAACUGACGCUGAGGUGCGAAAGCGUGGGUAGCAAACGGGAUUAGAAACCCUAGUAGUCC